rnacentral:rRNA from 1 species
GACGAACGCUGGCGGCGUGCUUAACACAUGCAAGUCGAACGAUGAACUUGGAGCUUGCUCUGGGGGAUUAGUGGCGAACGGGUGAGUAACACGUGAGUAACCUGCCCUGGACUCUGGGAUAACUUCGAGAAAUCGGAGCUAAUACCGGAUAGGACCUUGCACCGCAUGGUGUGGGGUGGAAAGGUUUUCGGUUUGGGAUGGACUCGCGGCCUAUCAGCUGGUUGGUGAGGUAAUGGCUCACCAAGGCGUCGACGGGUAGCCGGCCUGAGAGGGUAACCGGCCACACUGGGACUGAGACACGGCCCAGACUCCUACGGGAGGCAGCAGUGGGGAAUAUUGCACAAUGGGCGCAAGCCUGAUGCAGCAACGCCGCGUGCGGGAUGACGGCCUUCGGGUUGUAAACCGCUUUUAGUAGGGAAGAAGCCUUCGGGUGACGGUACCUGCAGAAAAAGGACCGGCUAACUACGUGCCAGCCGCCGCCGUAACAC